rnacentral:rRNA from 1 species
GAUGAACGCUAGCGACAGGCUUAACACAUGCAAGUCGAGGGGCAGCGCGGAGGUAGCAAUACUUCUGGCGGCGACCGGCGCACUGGUGAGUAACACGUAUGCGACCUGCCCCGGACAGGGGGAUAAACCCGGGAAACUGGGUCUAAUACCCCAUAUGUGCCAAGGACGCAUGUCCUAGGCAUGAAAGAUCCGUCGGUCCGGGAUGGGCAUGCGGCGCAUUAGCUUGUUGGCGGGGUAACGGCCCACCAAGGCGACGAUGCGUAGGGGUUCUGAGAGGAAGGUCCCCCACACUGGUACUGAGACACGGACCAGACUCCUACGGGAGGCAGCAGUGAGGAAUAUUGGUCAAUGGGCGAUAGCCUGAACCAGCCAAGUCGCGUGCGGGAUGAAGGCCCUCCGGGUCGUAAACCGCUUUAGCCGGGGAGUAACGUGCGGGACGCGUCCCGCAGUGAGAGUACCCGGAGAAUAAGCAUCGGCUAACUCCGUGCCAGCCGCCGCCGUAACAC